AACACACACACUGUACGUGUGUGGAUCGAUCAGGAGCAAAGGAAAACAAGGGUUUACCCUUGUUCUCACCAAAUUCACCAAAUUGACAAGGAAAAAUCGAUGUUUAUCAGUUGCAUGUAGUAAAAUUUCGAUCAUCUACCCAUACCCGGUGAAGUGGUGUGAAGGAAGAAGGUUCAAACUCUAAGAAAUCGGAAGGAUCACAAGACCGAGGUAAAUCCUCGGCUUAGGCGAUUGGACGGCUUGGAACGUGCACACUUGAUUCAUGCCCGCCUCACGCUUCCGUCACAAGUUGUUUUGAUAAGGGUUAAAUUUUUGGUCGGAUGUAAUUAAUCUUAUGUAGUAUGUUGAUGUCCGUGUCGUUGGGUCAAACCUAGUAGUUGUAGUCUUGUUACAUACAAUGUUAAUUUUCGUCCGUAUUUGGAUUUUGUCAAAAAUGUUUGUUGUUGAAGUUUGUUUGUGUAAAACAGGAAAUAGUGGUUUAAAACGAAUGGGUCAUGCCGAAAUUUUUAAAAA